rnacentral:rRNA from 1 species
GGGUGAACGCUGGCGGCGUGGAUAAGGCAUGCAAGUCGAGCGAUCCCGCAAGGGAUAGCGGCAAACGGGUGAGUAACACGUAGGUAACCUACCCUGAAAUGUGGGAUAACCUGACGAAAGACAGGCUAAUACCACAUGUGCUCUAGUGGUCGCAUGAUCGCUAGAGGAAAGGUAGCCUCGACCCGCAAGGUUGCUAUCGUUUCAGGAGGGACCUGCGUCCCAUCAGCUAGUUGGUAGGGUAACGGCCUACCAAGGCAUUUGACGGUAGCUAGCCUUAGAGGGCGGUUAGCCACACUGGGACUGAGACACUGCCCAGACUCCUACGGGAGGCUGCAGUCGAGGNUAUUUGGCAAUGGACGAAAGUCUGACCAUGCGACGCCGCGUGCAGGAUGAAGGCCUUCGGUCGUAACUAG